UGGGGAAUAUUGCACAAUGGAGGGAACUCUGAUGCAGCGACGCCGCGUGAGUGAUGAAGGAAUUCGUUUCGUAAAACUCUGUUCUAUGGGAAGAAAAGGACUGUACCAUAGGAGAAAGCUCCGGCUAAAUACGUGCCAGCAGCCGCGGUAAUACGUAUGGAGCGAGCGUUGUCCGGAAUUAUUGGGCGUAAAGGGUGCGCAGGCGGCUUUACAAGUUGGAUGUGAAAUAUUGUGGCUCAACCACAAACGUGCAUCCAAAACUGCAAAGCUUGAGUUAAGGAGAGGUAAGUGGAAUUCCUGGUGUAGCGGUGGAAUGCGUAGAUAUCAGGAGGAAUAGCGGUGGCGAAGGCGACUUACUGGACUUAAACUGACGCUCAGGCACGAAAGCGUGGGGAGCAAACAGG
rnacentral:rRNA from 1 species